GGGGUUGUGGCUCAGAGGUACAGCGCUCACCUGGUAUGCGUGAGGCACUGGGUUGGAUCCUCAGCACCACA
rnacentral:tRNA from 1 species